GACGAACGCUGGCGGCGCGCCUAACACAUGCAAGUCGAACGGAGUUGUGUUGAAAGCUUGCUGGAUAUACAACUUAGUGGCGGACGGGUGAGUAACACGUGAGUAACCUGCCUCUCAGAGUGGAAUAACGUUUGGAAACGAAUGCUAAUACCGCAUAAGACCACAGUGUCGCAUGGCACAGGGGUCAAAGGAUUUAUCCGCUGAAAGAUGGGCUCGCGUCCGAUUAGCUAGAUGGUGAGGUAACGGCCCACCAUGGCGACGAUCGGUAGCCGGACUGAGAGGUUGAACGGCCACAUUGGGACUGAGACACGGCCCAG
rnacentral:rRNA from 1 species